rnacentral:misc_RNA from 1 species
GAUGAAGAACGUAGCGAAAUGCGAUAAGUAAUGUGAAUUGCAGAAUUCAGUGAAUCAUCGAAUCUUUGAACGCACAUUGCGCCCCCUGGUAUUCCGGGGGGCAUGCCUGUUCGAGCGUCAUUUCACCACUCAAGCCUCGCUUGGUAUUGGGCAACGCGGUCCGCCGCGUGCCUCAAAUCGACCGGCUGGGUCUUCUGUCCUCUAAGCGUUGUGGAAACUAUUCGCUAAAGGGUGUUCGGGAGGCUACGCCGUAAAACAACCCCAUUUCUAAGGUUGACCUCGGAUCAGGUAGGGAUACCCGCUGAACUUAAGCAUAUCAAUAAGCGGAGGA